CCGUUCAUCAUCGUUUCCGUCAUUUUUUUUCCUGUCUCCAUCACUUUGUUUUACCGCGAUUACUUCAUCAACACCGUGAUUUCUUCAUCAAAGCAUUCUCCAUCAACUCCAUCACCAUAUCUGUCAACUCCAUCAACACAUUCUCUACCAAUUUCACAAACUUUAUCUCUUUUGUUUGCGAUUAAAAAAAUACAUCUCCGCCACCAAC